CAUAAGUGACAUGAUGCGGUUCGG
rnacentral:siRNA from 1 species